AUUGAACGCUGGCGGCAUGCCUUACACAUGCAAGUCGAACGGCAGCACGGGGCAACCUGGUGGCGAGUGGCGAACGGGUGAGUAAUGCAUCGGAACGUACCUUUCAGUGGGGGGUAACGUAGCGAAAGUUACGCUAAUACCGCAUAUUCUGUGAGCAGGAAAGCAGGGGAUCGCAAGACCUUGCGCUGAUUGAGCGGCCGAUGUCAGAUUAGCUAGUUGGUGAGGUAAAGGCUCACCCAGGCGACGAUCUGUAGCGGGUCUGAGAGGAUGAUCCGCCACACUGGAACUGAGACACGGUCCAGACUCCUACGGGAGGCAGCAGUGGGGAAUUUUGGACAAUGGGGGCAACCCUGAUCCAGCCAUGCCGCGUGAGUGAAGAAGGCCUUCGGGUUGUAAAGCUCUUUCGGCCGGGAAGAAAUCGCACGGGCUAAUACCCUGUGUGGAUGACGGUACCGGAAUAAGAAGCACCGGCUAACUACGUGCCAGCCGCCGCCGUAAUAC
rnacentral:rRNA from 1 species